CAGCUAUACAUGCAAGUCGAACGAACUCUGGUAUUGAUUGGUGCUUGCAUCAUGAUUUACAUUUGAGUGAGUGGCGAACUGGUGAGUAACACGUGGGAAACCUGCCCAGAAGCGGGGGAUAACACCUGGAAACAGAUGCUAAUACCGCAUAACAACUUGGACCGCAUGGUCCGAGUUUGAAAGAUGGCUUCGGCUAUCACUUUUGGAUGGUCCCGCGGCGUAUUAGCUAGAUGGUGNGGUAACGGCUCACCAUGGCAAUGAUACGUAGCCGACCUGAGAGGGUAAUCGGCCACAUUGGGACUGAGACACGGCCCAAACUCCUACGGGAGGCAGCAGUAGGGAAUCUUCCACAAUGGACGAAAGUCUGAUGGAGCAACGCCGCGUGAGUGAAGAAGGGUUUCGGCUCGUAAAACUCUGUUGUUAAAGAAGAACAUAUCUGAGAGUAACUGUUCAGGUAUUGACGGUAUUUAACCAGAAAGCCACGGCUAACUACGUGCCAGCAGCCGCGGUAAUACGUAGGUGGCAAGCGUUGUCCGGAUUUAUUGGGCGUAAAGCGAGCGCAGGCGGUUUUUUAAGUCUGAUGUGAAAGCCUUCGGCUCAACCGAAGAAGUGCAUCGGAAACUGGGAAACUUGAGUGCAGAAGAGGACAGUGGAACUCCAUGUGUAGCGGUGAAAUGCGUAGAUAUAUGGAAGAACACCAGUGGCGAAGGCGGCUGUCUGGUCUGUAACUGACGCUGAGGCUCGAAAGUAUGGGUAGCAAACAGGAUUAGAUACCCUGGUAGUCCAUACCGUAAACGAUGAAUGCUAAGUGUUGGAGGGUUUCCGCCCUUCAGUGCUGCAGCUAACGCAUUAAGCAUUCCGCCUGGGGAGUACGGCCGCAAGGCUGAAACUCAAAGGAAUUGACGGGGGCCCGCACAAGCGGUGGAGCAUGUGGUUUAAUUCGAAGCUACGCGAAGAACCUUACCAGGUCUUGACAUACUAUGCAAAUCUAAGAGAUUAGACGUUCCCUUCGGGGACAUGGAUACAGGUGGUGCAUGGUUGUCGUCAGCUCGUGUCGUGAGAUGUUGGGUUAAGUCCCGCAACGAGCGCAACCCUUAUUAUCAGUUGCCAGCAUUAAGUUGGGCACUCUGGUGAGACUGCCGGUGACAAACCGGAGGAAGGUGGGGAUGACGUCAAAUCAUCAUGCCCCUUAUGACCUGGGCUACACACGUGCUACAAUGGAUGGUACAACGAGUUGCGAACUCGCGAGAGUAAGCUAAUCUCUUAAAGCCAUUCUCAGUUCGGAUUGUAGGCUGCAACUCGCCUACAUGAAGUCGGAAUCGCUAGUAAUCGCGGAUCAGCAUGCCGCGGUGAAUACGUUCCCGGGCCUUGUACACACCGCCCGUCACACCAUGAGAGUUUGUAACACCCAAAGUCGGUGGGGUAACCUUUUAGGAACCAGCCGCCUAAUGG
rnacentral:rRNA from 2 species